rnacentral:rRNA from 1 species
ACGAACGCUGGCCGCAUGCCUAACACCUUCAAGUCGAACGAGACCUUCGGGUCUAGUGGCGCACGGGUGCGUAACGCGUGGGAACCUGCCCUUAGGUUCGGAAUAACUCCCCGAAAGGGGUGCUAAUACCGGAUAAUGUCUUCGGACCAAAGAUUUAUCGCCUUUGGAUGGGCCCGCGUUGGAUUAGCUAGUUGGUAGGGUAAAAGCCUACCAAGGCGACGAUCCAUAGCUGGUCUGAGAGGAUGAUCAGCCACACUGGGACUGAGACACGGCCCAGACUCCUACGGGAGGCAGCAGUGGGGAAUAUUGGACAAUGGGCGAAAGCCUGAUCCAGCUAUGCCGCGUGAGUGAUGAAGGCCUUAGGGUUGUAAAGCUCUUUUACCCGGGAUGAUAAUGACAGUACCGGGAGAAUAAGCUCCGGCUAACUCCGUG